GCUCGAGUGGCGAACGGGUGAGUAACACGUGAGUAACCUGCCCUUGACUUUGGGAUAACUUCAGGAAACUGGGGCUAAUACCGGAUAGGAGCUCCUGCUGCAUGGUGGGGGUUGGAAAGUUUCGGCGGUUGGGGAUGGACUCGCGGCUUAUCAGCUUGUUGGUGGGGUAGUGGCUUACCAAGGCUUUGAGGGUAGCCGGCCUGAGAGGGUGACCGGCCACAUUGGGACUGAGAUACGGCCCAG
rnacentral:rRNA from 1 species